rnacentral:lncRNA from 1 species
CUCGCGGUUCUUGCAUCGCGCAGCCAGGGGCCACCCCCCUGCCCUGCUCCCUCCCCCUAGCGAUCGGCGACGACUGCCUGUGCGGCCGCGCCGUUAUGUUGCCGGCCAACUGCCCUGCGUCUCUACUCCUCCAAGGCUCCAACACCCCUUCGCUGACCCCCUGCCUGCCGGGCUGCCGGACAGAAUUUUGCUGAGGCCAACCACAUCACAAACGGCACACAGGUAAACUAACAUCUUUCGCCAAAUUCCCCAUUUACUAAGUAGUAGCCUUAUUUUGUUUAGUUGCUUACAUCUCGUGAUAAGUAGUAGCCUGUCAGAGAAGAAUUGAUCUAGGACUUGUUAAUAUUGGUGAGUCAUGCAUGUACAUGUGUCUAUAUUUGUGGAUCUCAGAUAUCAGUCUUCAGGCGUUCAUAUAUGUUUGUGCCUGCAGUCUUUCAUUUAGCUCCGGAUGCUGUGAAAAAUCUUCGUAGAUUUAUACUGUGCCAUCUGCACAAUGUCAAAAUGUUUCUAAUAGCCGAAGUUAUUUUCUGCUACUUAUUCUAGUUUUGAUGCACCCAGAAUUUCGUUAUAAUUACCAAAAUAUUGCAGGUGUCGAUGGAGGAACAGGUGGUAAUGUAAUUCUUGGUUUCUCAAGAUCUGUCUGGGAUUUCAGUAACUUGCAACAUCACACGGUAUGCUUUUGGUAAUUAAACUUACAUUUUGCUCCAGCAAUGCAUCUUACUGAAACCUUAUAAUAACCAAUAUCCUCAAGUGCCUUAAUUGAUCAUCGCUGUUAUAAUAAAAUAACACAUAUGAUUCUCCGACUAAAAGAAGUUUAUCCCAAUUCUCUUCACCAAAUCACGCACGACUUGUGGAAUAUUUUCUACGCAUUCAUUGUCCUUGUACGACAGCAAGUGUACCAACACCUGAUUUCGUAGGUCAUAAUCGUCCUGCACGUGAAUUAUGCUGUCAUGCAAGGCUCACAUCUAAAAGGACACAUGAAUGGUGAAUGUAGAGUACUCACUGGGACAACUGGUAAUCCAUGUUCAUGAUCAUGCCACGUGCGCAUAAUCUUUAAAACUAAAAACCCAGACAUAUUGCUGCAUAGGAGUAAAUGUUAUUAGCAAUAUGAUAGAUGAAAAUAUGGUCAAAUAAUUGGAAUGUUAAGGUUAUAACCUGUUUGGGUUUUUUGGAACUCCAAGUGGUAUGAUGCGACGCCAUCUAAAAACAUCAUCAUUCCAGCCAGGAAUUGCAUCUUGUAAUGCUAUGUUUAGAUGGAAUGAAAUACAUUGAAUCUUAAGUAUGUCCUUCUGUGAAGGAUUCUUUUUCCAUGCAUCCGAUAGGGGAAGAGGGUCGAGUAUAGUGAUUGUUCUAUCCAAUAGGUCGAACAGGAAGAGGAUGAAGCGACCGGUUGUACAAAACGGCAACAAAAUCUGUGUGAAGUAGGCUUUAGAAAUAAAAUACGGGUGAAAAGCACACACAGAGAUGGGAAGUAUGAUUACCAACUUGCACACCGAGACGUCAAAGCACAUAUCAGGCCAACGAUGAAAUAGUUUUGCAAUAAUGUAGCGUUGGGCAUCAAAUGGUAAACGGAGUUUUGGAUCUUGUGUAGAGUCAUUUAGUAUCAUCUGAGAGGAAAGUAAAGGAUUAUUAACAUUCUAUGCGCUUAUGGUUGCAAUUAUAUGUGCUCGUCGCCGUAAAAGGAAGUAUUAUGAGAUUUUAAAAACUUACAGAAAAUCUGAGAUCCAUAUAGUGAUAUGGAGUGUCUUUAGCCCAUUGAAUGUCGUCUGUAGCAUUUACUCGAACAGCCAUGUUAAAACUGUCGACAUCAAUUGCCCGUGUAUUCUUUAGUAAGUCUUGUAGUUGUCUAAGACUUAUACUUAGUGGGUAGGGCUUGGAGCUACGGAUCCAUUCUUUCCUAUCAAAUAAACCAUAGCAUCAACGAUAUAGUGAAAAAAUAAUAUACAUAAAUGCAGAUAUUGUUAUUUUGAAAGUUGACUUACUCUCGGGAAUCUGCAUUAUGAAUGGACAUGAUAUGACCUCGAAGUUUGCAAAGUAGCUCAUUUUUAUUAAGUGGCAUUCUCAGAACAACCAUGGCAGGUGGCGGGUCCAAUAUUUCAACACCGUCAGUAUCUAUUAUAUCGUCUGCUGGAUUAUGGUACUCAGGAGUUCCUUUUAUAUCAUUCAGAUCUGAUUCAUGGAGAAUGAUUGCUACUUUUUGCCUGAAGGGUUUGACAUCUUCCUGGAAAAAUAAUAAUUAGAAUCAAUAUAUUACAACAUUGAAUUAGAUAUGCAAUACACUUUUGUCAUCCUUCACAAAUUACCUGUGUAACAGGAUGUGACAGUUUGUGUCCUGUCCAGUAUUCAAUGAAUUGUAGCAUGAACAAGCCGCAAGAUGAUCUAUUGGUUAAAAAUAUUGGGCACAUUAGUAAUAAGCAAACAUAAGGAAUUGUUGAAUAAUAAUCAAUAAUUGUUACUGCUGCUCUCAUUUCGCAUUUUCUCAUGUGAUGAUUUCAAACAUACCCAUCAGAUUGAAUUCGAUCUUGAAUAUACUCUUUUAUAGUCCAUCUAGUUACAUCAAUAUCUGGCCAAGUACCUAGGUUAAACCCAUUCAUCUUAGAAGCAAUCUUUAGAUGCGCCUCAAGCCCCUGAAGCUGUUAAAUAGAAAAAAAGUAUGAUAAUAUAGGUGAAACUAAUUGCAUGAAUUCCAAGUACAGAUAUAGUAAAAUCAUACCGUAAGUUGUAGAUCAGCUCGGCUCAUUCGAGAACCAAAAGAAUCGAGUACUUGUAUCUCGCGUUGUUUGAUAUUGACAACAGAUAGAUACCAAUGCGUUUGGUUCAUAUUAAUUGGAAUGUACAACUGACACAAAAUAUAUAAGUCAUUGCCCCGGCUAGGUAAACAAAUUGAUAACAAAUGAUAGAACCAUAGGUAGGAAAAUUAGUCUAACCAUGUCAUGCUGUAGAUACUUAAGCACCUUUUCAACGAUGUGGUGAUGACUCUCAAGGCUUAUGGGAAUUUCACCAUCUCGCUUAAGUAUUCCUGAAUCAUAUGUAGUUUCCAAGAAUACACGUGCACCCGCUGUACAAAAUUUAUCCUGGACCCUUAGACAGUAAAUAUAUGCAUUUAUGACCUAUAGUAGAAAAAGUAACAAAUAAAUUAGACAUUCUUGAAGUGUGUAAGUAUGAUCAUUGGAAUAUAUUUUAGCUGACCUCGCUCUCCACCCAUAUCUCAUCUUCUAAAAGACAUUCCAAAUCUCGACGUGUCAAGGUUGUGUCAUGGAUAUUCACUAACUUGGUUUUGCUAGGGAAGGACAUGAUGUAUUCCUUCAUUUCAGUAAAAUUAAUAGCACAGGCAUUUUCUUUUAUCUCAUUCAGAUCCAUCUGAAACAACAUAGACAUAAGUAAAGCUUAAUUGAAUAAAAAAAUGUGGUGGUUGUUUGUAUAGCGCCUGUGAAAGCUGAUUCGCUUGUUGCUAAUACGUGAAUGCAAGGAGCUCACCUCGGCUGGUGCGACGGACAUGGCGAGUGGAGCGCAGAGGCAACGACGGCCGUAGCGCAGCGUCGCCGGGAGGACGGCCUUGAGGUGCUUUGCACCGCUGAGCCCGUCCCGGCUGCCGUCGUUUCCCCAACGUAUACAGGUUCUCUUCCACGACUGAUGAACGUGCCCACAAUGGAUCGGCCAGAGAGAGAAGAAAGAGACCUAUGCAGGGCGUCAAUGGGGUAGUGCGAGCAGCCUUGCUUUGAAGUGGCCAUUUAUAAUACUUCCCUUCCGCUGAACUCGGGAAUUUCUUCCUGCAUGUGACGCGCGGCCUUAACUGCCCUGCAAUCUCGGCGAUUACCUUCUCUACAUAGGGCAAUCGGAGCGAUUAUCUUCCCUACAUAAACAUGAUUGCUUCCAUCUGAUUUGUUUACUGAUCAGGAGCAAGAAAAUCGCCAGAGAUAUCACUCCGUUUUAUUGUAUCGUAUACCCUUGCUCUGAGAGGAAACAUCCCAUCCAGCGACAAAAUUAGACGAUGUUCCAGCGACAAAAUUAGACUCCAUGACAGAGGUGACCUGCACAAAAUAAAUCUCAGAUAAAUUAAAAACCAUUUCAUUAUCUAAUUUUAUUGUGAAAUAAAAAUAUUGCCAUACAUAAUAAAAUGAUAGAGUGGAAAUAUAACUGCCAAAUUUCUCACCUAUGAUGUAAGGAUCUCUUUAUAGACGAUGUUCUUCGUGUACGUACCAACAGGAUAAUCGCAUGUGUUUUUGCUGCAAGUUGAACUCUUCUUUUUGAUGUCAUCUGAGUUUCUUUUCUUAUUACCAGCAUCAGGGACGGCAAGAAUCUUGACAUUCUUUCUAGCGGUGGAUCUAGAUAGUGCAACAUACAACUGCCCGUGAGAGAACACAGGCUCGGGCAAGUAAAUACCGACAUUCGGGAUAGUUUGCCCCUGUGCCUUGUUAACCGUCAUGGCGAAGCUGAGCCUUAUUGGAAAUUGCUUCCUCUUGAACUGAAAAGGAAACAUCUCAUCAUCAGAGGGGCAAAGGGGAAUCCUUGGCAAGAAGAUCCUUUUUCCAGCAUGUUGGCCCAGGACAAUUUCUGCAUCGAUGACAUUCCUUUGGAAUCCUCGAACCACCAGCCUCGUGCCAUUGCAAAGUCCGUUCGCGGGGUCAAUGUUCCUGAGCAAUAUGACAGGGCAGUUAAUCUUGAGCUUCAACACAUGCGGGGGCAGCCCAUUAGGGGUCAAUGUGUUAAGGAAUUCAGGAGGAUAGUAGUUAUGAGGGUCGUCAACCGCACAAUCAAAACUAUGGUACACCAUCUCAUCUCCUUGGAAUCGACUGAUCAUCUUCAAAUUAAUCCUAUCCACGCAAUCAUUCGUUGUCGAUAAGAUUGCUCUGGAGGUGAUGUAGUCUGGGUCUGACGUGUUAGCAUCAAGGCUAGGAAAAGUAUUGUCUAUCAGUGUAUCAAGGUCAGUGUCCUUCCCAGUUGACGACACACAUAUCUCGUCUGGAAGGCGGACCUCACCAUCUUGAUUUGUCUCCUCCUUACCAUCACCAAUGCGCAAUAGAUAUUAUGCAAACCAUGGGUCACUAUGUGCCCUCAUAUUGCGUACCAACUUAAGGUGAUGCAUGGAAUCCCAAAGGUAAGACCUACGCAGCGAUGAAUUAAUUA